AGUGAACGCUGGCGGUAGGCCUAACACAUGCAAGUCGAACGGCAGCACAGAGGAGCUUGCUCCUUGGGUGGCGAGUGGCGGACGGGUGAGGAAUACAUCGGAAUCUACUCUGUCGUGGGGGAUAACGUAGGGAAACUUACGCUAAUACCGCAUACGACCUACGGGUGAAAGCAGGGGACCUUCGGGCCUUGCGCGAUUGAAUGAGCCGAUGUCGGAUUAGCUAGUUGGCGGGGGAAAGGCCCACCAAGGCGACGAUCCGUAGCUGGUCUGAGAGGAUGAUCAGCCACACUGGAACUGAGACACGGUCCAGACUCCUACGGGAGGCAGCAGUGGGGAAUAUUGGACAAUUGGCGCAAGCCUGAUCCAGCCAUACCGCGUGGGUGAAGAAGGCCUUCGGGUUGUAAAGCCCUUUUGUUGGGAAAGAAAUCCUGCUGGCUAAUACCCGGUUGGGAUGACGGUACCCAAAGAAUAAGCACCGGCUAACUUCGUGCCAGCAGCCGCAGUAA
rnacentral:rRNA from 1 species